rnacentral:misc_RNA from 1 species
GAUGAAGAACGUAGCGAAAUGCGAUAAGUAAUGUGAAUUGCAGAAUUCCGUGAAUCAUCGAACCUUUGAACGCACAUUGCGCCCCCUGGCAUUCCGGGGGGCAUGCCUGUCCGAGCGUCAUUUCUGCCCUCAAGCACGGCUUGUGUGUUGGGUGUGGUCCCCCCGGGGACCUGCCCGAAAGGCAGCGGCGACGUCCGUCUGGUCCUCGAGCGUAUGGGGCUCUGUCACUCGCUCGGGAAGGACCUGCGGGGGUUGGUCACCACCAUGUUUUACCACGGUUGACCUCGGAUCAGGUAGGAGUUACCCGCUGAACUUAAGCAUAUCAAUAAGCGGAGGA